GCCAGUAUGGCUUAGUAUUUGAGUGUUGGACUACAACUCUGGAGACCAGGGUUCGAAUCCCCCAUUUGGCC